UCGCCCUUUACGGGUUGUGAGAGCAAGAGCCCGGAGAUGGAUUCUGAGACACGAAUCCAGGCCCUACGGGGUGCAGCAGGCGCGAAAACUUUACAAUGCCGGCAACGGCGAUAAGGGGACCUCGAGUGCCAGGUUACAAAUCUGGCUGUCGUGAUGCCUAAAAAGCAUUGCAUAGCAAGGGCCGGGCAAGACCGGUGCCAGCCGCCGCGGUAACACCGGCGGCUCGAGUGGUAACCGUUAUUAUUGGGUCUAAAGGGUCUGUAGCCGGCCGGAUAAGUCUCUUGAGAAAUCCAGCAGCUCAACUGUUGGGCUUUCAGGAGAUACUGUUCGGCUCGAGGCCGGGAGAGGUGAGAGGUACUUCAGGGGUAGGGGUGAAAUCUUGUAAUCCUUGAAGGACCACCAGUGGCGAAGGCGUCUCACCAGAACGGACCUGACGGCAAGGGACGAAAGCUAGGGGCACGAACCGGAUUAGAUACCCGGGUAGUCCUAGCCGUAAACGAUACUCGCUAGGUGUCGGCCACGGUGCGACCGUUGUCGGUGCCGUAGGGAAGCCGUGAAGCGAGCCACCUGGGAAGUACGGCCGCAAGGCUGAAACUUAAAGGAAUUGGCGGGGGAG
rnacentral:rRNA from 1 species